CUGUUUGCAGGGCUGCUUGGUUUGAACAAGUACGUGACCUUGAUUCUGUCUGGGCUUAUCUUCAAUCCACAGCGCAUCCCCAACUUUCGAGGCAGCCUGUAAUUUUUGUGUGUCCUCUUAUGUGAGUACUUCAAGGUCACAAUCACCGGCACACAGCAAUCAGCUCUCAAAUGACUGCCUUAAUGGAUGUUGUUUGCAGCUUAUCCUAACUAGAAUUUCUCUUAGGUCCAGCUUCAAGGCCUGAGGACCUCAGAUGCAAGCUAACAGUGACUAGUGUGCAACUGGAAAUAAGCAGACCUGGGCAAGAAGAACUCCCCAGCUCCAGGUCUAGCCCUGAAUGAGCAUCUCAAGCAGUCCAGAUAUCAACAUAAACAUCAAUGGAACAUCCCUCGGCACCUGGUGCUGCUUCUUUUAGACAAAAUCCAACAAGCUUAAUUAUGGGACUCUGGAGGCCUGAGAAAUUACAGAACAAAGUACCUGCCGGAAGUAGACGAACUGACAGGAGCCAAGAGGAGGUCCGCUGGUGUCAAAGAAGGAGACAGGAGAACAAAAUGAAGAUCUAGGAUCUGGGAAGCCAGAGCAACCUGGGGCCACUUACAGAGGGGCAAGCAGCCCAAUGAUCCUUGGGGACACGACUGCAUUACGGCAAAAUACAAUACUUGACCUUAUGAGGAUGACA